rnacentral:misc_RNA from 1 species
AACAUCGCGCACCUGCGGGAACCUGCGGAAGGAUCAUUACUGAGUCACGUGCUCAAACAACCCUUCUGUGGACCUGAAAUAAAACCGUUGCCUCGGCGGGCGGCCCCCCCCAAACCAACCCCACGUGGUGGGUUAGGGGAGACCAGACAGUCCGGUACGCUUAAGGCGUCCGGCGCCAGCCGCUGGCCCCAAACAAUUAAACUCUAGUAAUCUUUACCUUCUGAGUUUCAAUAUUUAAAA